rnacentral:lncRNA from 1 species
AUCCGAGCUUCUACAAUAAGCGGCCUCCUUUCAGCCUUCUGCAAGAACCAGACUCCAUCCGAACUUCCAUAGCGGAUGGAUUCCGGACGAGCUUCUACAACAGACGGGCUCCAGCAGCUGAAUUUCUACAAUGGCCGAUCGCCUCCGAUAUCUGUUGAACCUCCCCAGCCAUCAACCUUAAAUAGCAUUAGUCAGACUUCAACAACACCAUCUGGACUUCCAU